GCGCCGGUAGAUUAGUUGGCAGAGUAGUGGGACGGUAUCCUACAGUCCCGGGUUCAAGCCCCGGUCGACGCC